GUGGGUGUAGUUCAAUAGUGGAGCACUUGCCUGGCAUGUAUGAGUCCCUGGGUUUGAUCCCCAGUACCACA
rnacentral:tRNA from 1 species